rnacentral:rRNA from 1 species
GUGCGGAGGAUCAUUACUGAAGGAAAAGAGUGGCAUGACUGUAGCUGGCUCGAAAGAGCAUGUGCACGUCUUUUGCUGCUUGAUUCAUUCUCUUUCCACCUGUGCACUCUUUGUAGACACUUGGGAAUGGGGUCUUGAUACCAAAAAGUUCUCUGGGUGUCUAUGUACUUUUUUUGAUACCCUCAGUUGAGUGUCUAUCGAAUGAGAUUUGUAGGCUUUUUUUUUUAAAUGGCCUUUAAAUGAUGAAAUACAACUUUCAACAACGGAUCUCUUGGCUCUCGCAUCGAUGAAAAACGCACCGAAAUGCAAUAAAUAAUGGGAAUUGCCUAAUUCCCUGAAUCAUCUAAUCUUUGAACGCCUCUUGCACUCCUUGGAAUUCCGAGGAGCAUGCCUGUUUGAGUGACAUUAAUGAUCUCAAAAAAUAUUGUGCCUUCAAGGCAUAGGUUUUUUGGAUGUUGGAACUUGCCGGCGGCUAGCCAGUGGGCUCUUCUGAAAACCAUUAGUUGAGGAGCUUUGCACUCUAUUGGUGUGAUAAACUAUCUAUGCCAUGAGAUGCUUUAUGGUAACCUCUGCUGUCAAACUGUCUUUUAUCGGACAAUGUGAUGAACUUGACCUCAAAUCCGGUAGGACUACCCGCUGAACUUAACCAUAUCAAUAAGCGGAGGAAAGAAACCUAACAAGGAUUCCCUUAAUAACUGCGAAUGAAGAGGGAAAAGCUCAAAUUUACUAUCUGGCCUCAUUUUGUUGUCUGAGUUGUAACCUACAGAAGUGUACCUGU